rnacentral:misc_RNA from 1 species
AUGAUCUAUUGCUUCCUCUGGCAUACAGUAAUUAGUAAAAUUUGGAAAGGAAAAUAAAUUGGUGCAAGUUUACAUGGAAUUGUCCAUAUUACACCUCUUCCUUUUCACUUAGGUCAAAACAUGUGCACGUGACUUUCUAAGGGUGAGAACGUAUUAUUCUAUUUAUUUUCAGGGGCAUAAAUAUGCAUAGAUCUAUCUAUUAUCUGAGGCUUUGCAUUCUGAAGAAUAGGACUUAAUUUUAACAAUAGUUGGCAUCUUUGUGGUACCUCUUGUUUUUUUAGCAUGGUUGUUUGGAUGGUUGGUUGGCUCCAUGUUUCAUUUUAAGUUUAAUUAACCAUGUUCUUUUCCCUUUUUCAUGCCAUAGAUUUGCCAUGAUGAGUACGACA